rnacentral:tRNA from 1 species
GGUUUUUUAGCUACAUAACAAGCAUUAUAUUUUGAAAAUAUAAAAAAGAGAAUUCUAAAAACCU